CAGCUGUAAAUGAGAUGAUGUCUCCAUCAAAUCAUUUCCUCUGAGUUCAGGGAAACCAUUGGAAGAGGAGGCAGAAAGGGAAUGGAGAACAGCAGAACAAGGUCUCUAAAAGUAAACAAGGCUCAGAUGAAGACACAGAGACUGAAGCCGCAAACACUCAGUGUUUACAGAAGCCAUCAGAUGAAGAUGUAGAACUCUCAGCUCCUCCUGCGCCACGACAUGGACGCUGCCAUGCUCCCACUUUGAUGAUAAUGGACUGAACCUCUGAACCUAACUGCAGGGAUGGAAAUGGAGAAGAGCCUGAGGAAAAGGAGGUCCAGCAACAGGCCCAAAGUGGGUUCCAGCUCAAGGGGAGGCCCCAAGACCUGACACCAUUACUGAGGCUAUGGAGAACUCACAAAAAUGGACCUACCAUGACUGCCCUCUGAAGACCCAACAAGCAGCUGAAAGAGUCAGAUGCAGAUAUGUGCACCCAACCAAUGAACAGAAGCUGCUGACCCCUCUAUUGAAUUAGGGAAAAACUGGAGGAAGCUGAGGACGAUGGCCACCCUGUAGGAGGACCAGCAGUCUCAAUUAACCUGGACUCCCUGAGAUCUCUCAGACACUGGAUCACCAACCAGGCAGCAUACACCAGCUGAGAUGAGGGCCCCAACACAUAUACAGCAGAAGACUCCUGAGUCUGCGUUCAGUCAGAGAAGAUGCACCUAAUCCUCAAGAGACUGGAGGCCCCAGGGAGUUUAGAGGACUAGUGGGGUUUGGGAUGGAGACGUCUUCGUAGAGACAGGGGUUGUGGAGGGGUAUGGGAUGGCAAAUAGUCAGAGGGUGGACCAGGAGGGGGAUAAAUUUGCUGUGUUAAGAAAAGAUUAAUAAAAUUAAAAAAAAAAACUCUCCCAAUAAUCUCCCCCACCCCCCGUAACUGGUCUUACCUACUUUGUGAGUUCUUCUUUUUCCCACUGUGGUUUCACCCCCUAUCACUAGAUAGGAGGGAAAGAUAAACAUAGGGUGGGGAGAAAGAGACAGAGAUCCCUAAACCCAAUGUCUCUCCUUUUGUUUCUUCUUUGAGCACAACUACUAACAAACUGCAACCAAUCCCUGAACAAGCACCUACCGCCAACCAUGCCUAUUGAGGCUCUAGCAUUUAUAUACCCUCUGAAAAGUUCCCAGAAUUCCAAAUGUCACAGGAUUGUAGCAACUACCUCCCUCUAGCAAAACCAUACCCCUGGUAAAGCAUGAGGCAAAUCAUAGUCACCUGCUGUGGUCAGUCUGAAGUGGCCACAUAUCCCUACACCUGAGAUUAAAAUGAAAACAUAUUCUUAUAAUAUUUUUGUGUUUUUUAAAAGAAACAAAACUUUCAGCAUUAUCACUAUACCACCCCCCCAAAGAAAUCCAAGACCCAAAGUAUCCAACAGCCAGGUAUGGUGAAGCACGUCUGUAAUUCCAGCAUAACAGAAACUAAACUAUGAUUGUGGUGAGUUCAAAGCCAGUCUAGUAUAUAUACUAGACAGUCUCAGGCUAAGUAUGUACCUCAGAGGAUAGAGUGCUUCCCUAGUAUUGUUGGGAACAAGCAAAAGAAACGUAUUCUAAGUGCUACCAUUUCAUUUUCAGAUUCCAUUUAAUUGUAGGGAAAAACUAAAUUCAAGGUCUCAGGUCCUAGGGGAACUGGGGACUUCCCUAUAGCUGAACAGUUUCUUUUGAAAACAGUUGUCUGAGUCCAGACAUCUCAGGAGAACUUGUAAGAAGAUAGAUGUCUAAUUCCAGCCAUCUCAAGGACAACUUGUCCAUUUUGCUGGCAGGGUCAAACAAGUCCAUGCUCCCAGGUCUAGGAACAAACACCUAUCCCACUUCUCCAAAUGUUUUCUUAAUUGUCUGUUAACCAGUAAAGAAUAUAGAAAUUGUUGUUAUCCCAACAGGGUUGCCUUAUCUGGCCUCUGAGGGAGAGGAUGUACCUAAUUUGGCAGAGCCUUGAUGCAUCAGGGUGGAGGGAUAUCCAUGGGAGGCAUCCUCUCAGAGGUGGGAGAAGGUCUUAGUGAGGGGGAAUGGGGAGCAGCACUUGGGAUGUUAGUUAAUUAAUUACAAAACAAAAAGAGAAAUUGUUUUUAUCUAAACCAAGGUGCAUACAUUGUAAAAAAUAUCUAACAAAUUGCCUAUUAUGCCAGAAUUAACAACAUGCAGCUGACUCGCUCAUUUGUCUUCUUAUCACUCUGAGCUCUGGACCUAAUAAUGUCUAGCAGAAUGAAUAAAGGACCUUGAAGUUAGGUGCUCUGAAUAUGGCCCAGUCUCCAAUGGUACUCCCUUGCUUAACCCAUAAUGUCAAAAUACAGUUGGAUAACAUAGCAGUUUUCUACCAGCUCUCCCCUUGCUUUGUGUUCCAAAUCUUUAAAACUGUUGUACAAAUCUCAAUUCUGGGAUACAGUUCAUAUCUGAAACUGGUCACCUCCCUGAGCACUCAGAAAAUAAAGUUUUUUCAGCUUCCACAAGAAACAAACAUUAUGUACAAGGCUAGGGCUUCAUUUCCAGCAUCUGCCUAGGUCCGCAAGUCAGCCCACUGGCAAAAUUUCACAACUGCCUCUAACUUUAACUACAGGGGACCUGACCUUGUGGGCAUCUACACAUAUAUAGCAAACACACAGACACAGGCACUCACAUACAUUAAAAGUAAAUAAAUCUUUUAAAACUGUCUAUCAAUUCUGGUUACUUAUUUGUGUAGUAUUAUUUUUUAGUUUCUUAAAUGUUCAAUCAUAUCAACUAUAGAUUAUGGAUUACAUUCUCUUAUCUGAUAAUAGACACAAUGUUUUAAUAUUUAUUUUUAUUUAUGUGAGUAUUUUGCUUGUAAGGAUGUAUGUGCACCACAUGUGUUCCUGGUGCCCACAGAGAUCAGAAGAUGGGGUCAGAUGCCUUGGAGCUAGAUUUAUGGAUGGCUGUGUAUUCUGGCCACAAUGUGUGUUCUGAUAACUGAACUUGGAUCCUAUGAAAGUGUUCUUAACUACUGAGCCAACUCUCCCACUCCAUAGUUUAUUUUUAUUUUCUAUUCUUUCAAGACAGGGUCUCUCUACAUAGGGUCUGUUCUGGAACUCCCCUUAAUAGACCACACUGUUGUCAAACUCAGAGGUCUGCCUGCCUCUGCCACGCUUAUUUCUUUUCUUCCUGUAUUAGUUCCAUGGCAUCUUAGAAAUCCACAGGCAUCUCAAAACCGAACAGAAAAGGUUUUAGGAAAGGAAGGAAGAAAACCAGGUGUGAUGGUGCACACCUUUAAUUUCAGCAAUGGGGAGGCAGAGGAAGGUAGAUGUCUAUGAGUUUGAGGCCAGCCUGAUCUCCACAGUGAAUUUCAGGCCACCCAGAGCUACAUACUGAGACUCUGGUUCAAAAAAAUAGGUAAGAUGGAGAUAAACCAAAUAUGUAGGAAAAAACUUUAUAAACAAGUAAAAUGAAUGGUGAAUUCUGACAAAAAAUUAUCCUUCUGAAAUACAUUCAAUUUCAAAGUAGUUUGUUCUUGCAAAUUUGUUGUUGUUAUUUUUUGAGACACGGUUUCUUUGCAUAAUAGUCUUAGCUGUCCUGGAAAUCCCUUUAUAGAACAAGCUGGUCUUAAAUUCACAGAGAUCUGUCUUCACAGAGAUCUGUCUGCUUCUGCCUCCCAACUUCUGGAACUAAAAGCAAGUUCCACCAGUAAAUUUAUUUUCUGUACAUUCUCAGAAGUUUCAAGCCAUUCUGUCACAUUUCAAAAUGAAUGUUCCUCCAAACCACAACAAAAUAAAAUUACUAUGGACUGGAGAGAUGGCUCAGUGGUUAAGAGCCACUGACUGUCCUUCCAGAGGUCCUGAGUUCAAUUCCCAACAAACACAUGGUGGCUCACAACCAUCUGUAAUGGGAUCUGAUGCCCUAUUCUGGUGUGUCUGAAGACAGCUACAGUGUACUCAUAUAAUAAGUAUACCCUUAAAAAAACUAUUAUGAUUCUAAUCAGUAUUGUAUAAUGGUUUUUCUUUCCAGUCAAAGUCUCUUCCCACUUAAGUGUGGAUUGUUUUUAUUUGCUGCAGCAAAAACAGCUUAUCUUAUUCAAAUGGCUCUGCACAGUGUUCAAAUUCAUCCCAACUAUAGGUUGAGUGUCCUGCAUGUUGGAGACUGCUAAAGUCCAGAAGCUUCGGUGUUUCCUUGGUGUUAGGAUCUAUCUCAAUGGUUUCCCAAUCCAGGAGUGAGACCUCAGGAACUUAAUUAUCUCUCCUCCUACAACUUGAUAGAGCUUCCUCUCAGGAAUCUGCUUUAGAUGUGUAACAUAGCCUACUAGCUUGUUGGGAACUUUUUUGACUGGGGAUAAUGGGUUCCAUAUUCCCUUCUUAGUGUAUGGAAGUCCUUAACCAAGCACUUAUAGUAGUAGUACUUCUAGAUGAUGACUAUGGUCACCUUCACCGUUUUGUUGAGAAUAAAGCCCAUGUUGCCAUGUUGGUGAGUUCUUGUAAA